CUUGAAAUGAUGUAGCAUUUGAGUAGUCCCAGUAUGUGUUGCCUACAACAUCUUAAGAGCCAUUACACAAAAGCAUUUUUGUGGGGUCAGCAAGAUGACUCAGCCCUCACUGUAAGAGGCUCCCAGGUCACCCACUUCUGAAUGCCUGGCAGCUGCUAAGCUGGGCUUGUCCUGAGAGGCAGACGGGACCCAGCGCAGAAGCCCGGGCUACUGAAGCAGCGGGGAUGAAGGCCCUGUGACAUGGUGCAGGGUGUUUUCUUCUGCUGACCUGUACAGGGAUGAGCAGUCGCAGCGUCGGCAGUGACUCUGAGUGCCUGGAUCCUGUCCGGGACAGAAAGUUUCCACGCUUUUCUUUACGCCAUGGGAACAAGAGGAUCUGCCAACCUUCUGAGAAGUAGCCAUCUCUCCCCGCUCCCUGCGUGCUAGGGUCUGGGCUCACAGCUGCUCAGCAACCAGCCCCAGGACUCCACGGAUGAGCAGAGCUGUCUCUUUCCCUGCCCCACCCACCUGCUACCUCUGCUUUGUUCUCCGCAGGCGCCCUUGCCAUGGGUGUUUACACAGCCCCAUUGCCCCUGCGUCCUGCCUUGCUUUGUUUAUUUAAAUCUCACCUCUCCUGGAGACACAGGUCCCACCUUUUCUGAGAGUUCACCUCCUGUUCUCUUCCUUACUGCUGGUUUUGAACCUGCAAGGAUUAGUAUUGGCAGUGACUCCCUGACUGCCAAAUUCAUGAAGGGCGGGUGUAAGAUGUGACUUGCCUCUGUGCCCUGGGCAGCCAUGAGAUGCUCACAUCCCUGGUCUUCAACUCGACAAUAAGAACAUAUGUCAGCGCCCAUGUCACUACUAAGACGGUCCAUCAAACAUUUGGCACAAAUUGAGCAAGGACUUGAAACCUGGGUUCCAGGUGUAAAUUAGCAGAGAACAGCCCUUCGCAGGUUAGAGAGAGUAGGGCUUCCACUCCUGGGUGGCACCAAAAGUCUAGUGUGGCUCUAAGAUGGCAGUAGGACCUCGUGUUUAUAGGGCUAGUGCUUCCGCGGUUACCACUCCCCAUGCCUCUGGGUACAGAAGGUGCCUGGUACAGACCGGAGAUCGUCAGCCCUAAAUGGCGUCUGGGCUGGGGACAGGACUGAACUAGUUACAAUCCUGCUUCUAGUUCAGCCAGUGCCUUUAAGGUUUUCGGCCAUCACUUUGGUCCUCCAUACAAUAUAAAUUUUGCCCCUGCCUUACCAAGUCCCUGCAGAUAUCAGGAAUUGUCCCAGGGCGUAUUUCUCAAAACAAUUUUAGUUCUUUAAUUUUUUUUAAAUACCCUCAUCAACCAGCAGAGGGCAGUGAAGGACAAUCUGAGUUUUAGGUUGCCUGUCAAAGGCUUGGGGUCUAAACUGAGGGCUACAAUCCCGGUUAAAGCAGCAGAAUUUGAUGAUAACGCUUUGCGGCUAUCUCUCUGUAUUGCUCUUGAAAUCUGAAGCAGUCUGGUCGGUGUUCUGCUCCUGCAAUUUUCUCAGCACUUAACUCCUUCGUGGAGAGCAUCUCAGCCCAACACCCUCAGCUGGAGAAAGGAGGGUGCUGGGUUCAGAUGACGGACCAGGCAGUAUUGCAGUGAGAUUCAGAGCAAGAAAGGAGAGACCUGGGCCUGAAACCCACGGUUCCGGGAAGGAUGGCUCACAGAGAGAAGUCUGGAGAAAACGAAGGGCAUUUAGAAUGUCCUGGCUGGUCUGGAUGUAGGAAAGGAGACAUGGCGGCCCAGUUGUGUCAUGGUUGCAGUAUAUACAGCAAGUACUGUCUGUGUGCUUAAGACCACUUAAAACGAGAAACAGAAAUGUUACAGACGCACUUCGUGAUUCAGAUUUUACAACUGACCCCUAUGAGUCAGGGCCAAGGCCCACACUUCUAGCCCAUGGACAGCCCACUCUGUACAGGGUUGAGAACAGGUGGGAGAAUUCAACAGAAUAAACAGAACCCUGAAUAAAACUCACAACGUGGCCACCAGGGCCACACAAUUCUGGAGUAAAUGUGUAUAAGGUGGCUCAGAAAAACUAAACAGGCAAAAGUCACAGGGAGAAGGAGUGGGAGGGGGCAACCAUGGCAUUUAAAGCAUGGUCUAAAUAUUACAUUCAAACCGAUCAGAGGGGUGAGGCAUGUGGACAAAGUGAUGGAACUGUCCCAGUGUACCAGCAAAGGCUGAAAACGCUAGAUUUGCAGUUAGAUAGGUGUCGAUUUAAAUUCAGUUAUUGGAAGUUUAAAUUUAAACUUGAGAAAAGACAUACAGUAGUGGAUUAUAGAUGAAUUUUUGACUCAUCUUUGCAUAGCUGAUGUUAAUUCAUUACAAUUUGAAUUGGGUAAUUGAACAAUUCUGGUGCUUAGAAAUAUCUUCCUUUAACUCUUUUCUUCUCCCCCAGUUUUUGGAUCCUUUCUGUGUUCCCCUGUCAAGGGUUGCUCAGAAAAACCCAACCUUUCUACUAAACAACAGCUCUGCAAAUGUCUGGAUCGUGGCUCUCGGGAACACAGCCCUCCCCAGUUCCUUGGUGUUCCUGCCCACCACACUGCCUACCUUCAUGGUCUGACUGUUGUCAUUUCACCAAAGGCCACCUCUUUUAAACAGACUUACUAAAGAGUGUCUCCAGUCACAGGCCUUAAGACAGCCACGCCUUGACUCUAACAGCUUCUGAGUCGGUGAGCAUCCCUGGUCUCCCACGGUCACCCUCUGCUCGCCUGUGAGGAUAUCUGAGCACAGGACUGUUUUCAGACUGUGUUCUCCGUGCUGUCCUUCUGCAUCAGCCUCACAGUCCGUCUUCGCCAGAGUUUCCUGAGGGUCAGAUCGCCGCCACCAUUUUUCUGGGGCUGACGGGACAGGGUAGAGUAAAACUUGGAGAAAAGAGUGAAAUGUAAAUGUGGAAAUAAUUUGCCCGCUUGACAUUCCUACCAUCUGCCAAAGGAACUAGUGAAGGAUAAUCCUCCCAACGUAAUGCUCAACCAGACUUGGUUUUUUUGUCUUGGGGAGGUAUGUUUGGGGUGUGUUUGUCUUUGUUUUGUUUCGUUUUUUAAAUGAAAUCACACUGGCUGCCACACAGUCUAGAGAUUAGAGGUGUAGAACCUUCGUGUUCCCUAGACCUUGAGUAAGGACGUGUCCUCCACAUAUGAA